UCUUCAACUUUUAAUGCAAAUUUAUCUUAUGUUUUAGACUUAUCGCAAUAUCAAUUUAAUGAUCUGUUAGAGGAGCGACAAUUUUCAGGCCAAUUAGAUGAGAGAAUGCAUUCUGAAGGAAAUGGACGAUUUUAUUGUAAUGCUUGUAGAAAGACGUAUGUUAACAUUGGAAAGUUAAGAUAUCAUAAGCGCUGGGAAUGCGGUCAAAUCAUUCAAUGUCAUAUCUGCAACAAGGUGGUAACCACUCUGUACUCGUUGAAAAAUCACAUACAAAUUCAUUCUGGAUAUCAUCCGUACGGAAAGAAAAAGAAAAUGUUCGAUAAAAUGAAUGAAAAUAUGAAUUAAAUUGACGUUUCUAUGUGGCUUGU